AUUGAACGCUGGCGGAAUGCUUUACACAUGCAAGUCGAGCGGCAGCGCGGCCUUCGGGCUGGCGGCGAGCGGCGAACGGGUGAGUAAUGCAUCGGAACAUGCCCAGUCGUGGGGGAUAACACUUCGAAAGAAGUGCUAAUACCGCAUACGUCAUGAGGGGGAAAGCGGGGGAUCGCAAGACCUCGCGCGAUUGGAGUGGCCGAUGUCAGAUUAGCUAGUUGGUGGGGUAAAGGCCUACCAAGGCGACGAUCUGUAGCUGGUCUGAGAGGAUGAUCAGCCACACUGGGACUGAGACACGGCCCAGACUCCUACGGGAGGCAGCAGUGGGGAAUUUUGGACAAUGGGGGCAACCCUGAUCCAGCCAUUCCGCGUGAGUGAAGAAGGCCUUCGGGUUGUAAAGCUCUUUCGGCAGGAACGAAACGGUGGGCUCUAACAUAGUCCGCUAAUGACGGUACCUGAAGAAGAAGCACCGGCUAACUACGUG
rnacentral:rRNA from 1 species